AACGAACGCUGGCGGCAGGCCUAACACAUGCAAGUCGAACGGGUGUAGCAAUACAUCAGUGGCGCACGGGUGAGUAACACGUGGGAACGUACCCUUCACUACGGAACAACGUCGGGAAACUGACGCUAAUACCGUAUAAUGUCUCCGGACCAAAGAUUUAUCGGUGAAGGAUCGGCCCGCGUCUGAUUAGCUAGUUGGUGAGGUAAUGGCUCACCAAGGCGACGAUCAGUAGCUGGUCUUAGAGGAUGAUCAGCCACACUGGGACUGAGACACGGCCCAGACUCCUACGGGAGGCAGCAGUGAGGAAUCUUGGACAAUGGGCGCAAGCCUGAUCCAGCCAUGCCGCGUGAGUGAUGAAGGCCUUAGGGUUGUAAAGCUCUUUUGCCGGGGAUGAUAAUGACCGUACCCGGAGAAUAAGCCACGGCUAAAUUCGUGCCAGCAGCCGCGGUAAUGUCUGUACU
rnacentral:rRNA from 1 species